rnacentral:lncRNA from 1 species
CGGCUUUCGGGCUCGGCGCAGUCUGCGGGCGGGAGGGCGCCGGCGAGGUGGCGAGGGCGGCUGGCGCGGGGGCGCGGGAGCCCCGGCUAAGCCCGGGGACGGGAGGGCGCCCCCUCCCAGCGCCCGAACCCAGGCAACUUCCCGCCGCCCGGGCAGGAGUUUCUCCGUAGCCCACGGACAUCCGGGAGGCUUGUGGAGGGCAGGCGGGUAACCCCCACUCCCACCCCACCUUUAUCCAGGGGCAGCCAGAGGAGCCAGCAGGUCGGGACUCGCUGAGGGGGCUCCACGCGGGGCCUCCCACGCACAGACAAAAAGAACAGCGUAUGACUCAGUUAAGGAGGUGGCAGUGUGGACAAAACACACAGAGAGCAAGAGGAUGAGCCUUCCACUAAAGGGACAGCGUCUGCUAUGUUGUCCAGGCUGGUCUCAAAUUCCUUGCCUCAAGCGAUCCAACUGCCUCAGCCUCCCGAGUCACUGGGAUUACAGGCAUGAAGACAUUGUUUUCAAGGGAUCACUCUGCUUUGUGGAGACUAGACUGUGAGGAGCAAGCCUCGAAAGGGGAGAGCUGUUUCGAGGUUCUCCACUGCAGCCUGCUCCACAGCCACGCCCUCCCAUCCAUGGCUACACACUCACAUUCUGGGCCUCUUCCCUGGACCAGAUUGCACAGCAGGGCCGCUCUCUCCAGUGCCUCCAGCUGGCCCCUGCUGACAAGUCCGUGUUGUGUCAUGUUGGGAGUCUGGGCAAGGCACGAGGGCCCCUCUCUAGCAGGUCCCGAUGGCUCCUCCACACCUUCAGGAAAAGCAAGAGAUAAACCAUUGCAUGCUGAGCUCUGCAGGGAACUGGAGGCGGACACCAUCCAUUCUGCAAACCUGCAAUGGUGACACUUCUGGAAUCUCCUUGCCUCUUCCAGGGCUGCAGCCUCUAAGGCAGUGGGCAAUGUCAAGUGAGAGACUCCACAGAUAAGAAAAAUAAAGGAGUGGCUCAAUUACAUGCCAGGGAAAACCGCUUUGGUGGAUGAAGGUCACACAGCUCUCCCAGCAUUCUGUCCUCUGUAUACAGAUGAUCUCCUUCUGAAAUCCUUUUGGGGAUGACCCCCUUCCACACCAUGGACACUUCUGGGUGGGUUGUCACUCAAGAGGUCCUGCCCUCUUCUGCCCACUGGGUGGACACAAGAAUUGAAAUCUGUAAAGGAUACUGAGAUUGGGAACAAAAUAAUUGAUGCUGAUUGAUCCCAGCAGUGUAUGGCGAGAAGAUGACAAGCUUCCACUGCCUGUAUCACUGACUUGCCUAAUGUCUGCCCUGCCCUGGCCUGGAUCUUAACCGCGCCCUUCAUUCUGUGAACUACCCCCAAAUCCUUCAAAUAAAGUCCUUGAUUGCUUGUUAGAGUCAAUAAUAUUGCUUGCUGAGGAUCCAGAGACCUCUAGAGAGAGGAGGUGGAAUUGCACACCCUGGGAAAGAGGAAGGUGUGAGUUACCAUCCCUGGGGGAGGCCCCACAGGUGUCAGCCCUCAGGGGGCAGGGGACUGACAGGGGACAGAGC